rnacentral:rRNA from 1 species
UACGGAGGGUGCAAGCGUUAAUCGGAAUUACUGGGCGUAAAGCGCACGUAGGUGGUUUGCUAAGUCAGCUGUGAAAUCCCCGGGCUCAACCUGGGCACUGCAGUUGAAACUGGCAAGCUAGAGUAGGGUAGAGGGGUGUGGAAUUCCAGGUGUAGCGGUGAAAUGCGUAGAUAUCUGGAGGAACACCAAUGGCGAAAGCAGGUUACUGGCCCAAUACUGACACUGAGCUGCGAAAGCUAGGGGAGCAAACAGG